AUUUAAAUAGUUUAUUAAAAAUAUUAACUUGUGGAGUUAAAGAUAUAUGAAUAUAUUUUAAAUA
rnacentral:tRNA from 1 species